GAUGAACGCUGGCGGCGUGCCUAAUACAUGCAAGUCGAGCGAACAGACGAUGAGCUUGCGCCUCUGACGUUAGCCGCGGACGUGUGAGUAACACGUGUAUAACCUACCUAUCAUUCUGGUAUAACCUCGGGAAACCGGAUCUAAUACCGGAGAAGAUAUUGAACCGCAUGGGUCGAUAGUGAAAUACGGUUUUUCUGGCUGUUAUAGAUGGAUCCGCGCCGGAUUAGCUAGUUGUUAAGGUAACGGCUUACCAAGGCAACGAUGCGUAACCGAGCUGCGAGGAUGAUCGGCCACACUGGAACUGAGACACGCUACAGACUCCUACGGGAGGCAGCAGUAGGGCAUCUUCCGGCAUGGGCGAAAGCCUGACGGCGCAACGCCGCGUGAGUGAUGAGGGUCUUCGGAUCGUAAAACUCUGUUAUUAGGGAAGAAAAAAUGUGUAAGUAACUAUGAACGUCUUGACGGUAACUAAUCAGAAAGGCACGGCUAAACACGUG
rnacentral:rRNA from 1 species